rnacentral:misc_RNA from 1 species
GAUGAAGAACGCAGCGAAAUGCGAUAAGUAGUGUGAAUUGCAGAAUCCCGUGAACCAUCGAGUCUUUGAACGCAAGUUGCGCCCGAAGCCAUCAGGUUGAGGGCACGUCUGCCUGGGCGUCACAUAUCGUUGCCCAAUGCCUAUUGCAGUGCAAUAGGAAUUUCUAGGGCGAAUGAUGGCUUCCCGUGAGCGUUGUUGCCUCGCGGUUGGUUGAAAAUCGAGUCCUUGGUAGGGUGUGCCAUGGUAGAUGGUGGUCGAGUUAGAACGAUACCGAUCAUGUGCAUGCUCCCCAAAAUAUGGCCUCUAUGACCCACACGCGUCUUUUGACGCUCAUGACGAGACCUCAGGUCAGGCGGGGCUACCCGCUGAAUUUAAGCAUAUCAAUAAGCGGAGGA